rnacentral:rRNA from 1 species
GAGUUUGAUCCUGGCUCAGGAUGAACGCUGGCGGCGUGCCUAACACAUGCAAGUCGAGCGAAGCAUACGGGAGGAAGUUUUCGGAUGGAAUCCUGCAUGGCUGAGCGGCGGACGGGUGAGUAACGCGUGGGGUAACCUGCCUUAUACAGGGGGAUAACAGUUAGAAAUGACUGCUAAUACCGCAUAAGCGCACAGUACCGCAUGGUAGUGUGUGAAAAAACUCCGGUGGUAUAAGAUGGACCCGCGUCUGACUAGCCAGUUGGCGAGGUAACGGCUCACCAAGGCGACGAUCAGUAGCUGGUCUGAGAGGAUGAUCCGCCACACUGGGACUGAGACACGGCCCAGACUCCUACGGGAGGCAGCAGUGGGGAAUAUUGGACAAUGGGCGGAAGCCUGAUCCAGCCAUGCCGCGUGUGUGAAGAAGGCCUUUUGGUGUAAAGCACUUUAAGCGAGGAGGAGGCUACCUGGAUUAAUACUCUAGGAUAGUGGACGUUACUCGCAGAA